rnacentral:rRNA from 1 species
GACGAACCGAGCGAACGUUGUUCGGAAUCACUGGGCUUAAAGAGCGCGCAGGCGGUCGUCCAAGUCGCGUGUGAAAGCCCCCGGCUCAACUGGGGAGGGUCACGCGAUACUGGUCGACUCGAAGGCAGGAGAGGGUAGUGGAAUUCCCGGUGUAGUGGUGAAAUGCGUAGAUAUCGGGAGGAACACCAGUGGCGAAGGCGACUACCUGGCCUGUUCUUGACGCUGAGGCGCGAAAGCUAGGGGAGCAAACGGG